GAUGAACGCUAGCGAUAGGCUUAACACAUGCAAGUCGAGGGGUAACGUGUUGGCAGCUUGCUUCCGAUGACGACGACCGGCGGAUGGGUGCGUAACGCGUAUGCAACUUGCCUCACAGUGGAGAAUAACCCGGAGAAAUCCGGACUAAUACUCCAUACACUCUUAAGUACGCCUGUACAUGAGAGGAAAGAUUUAUCGCUGUGAGAUAGGCAUGCGUCCUAUUAGGUAGUUGGUGAGGUAACGGCUCACCAAGCCGACGAUAGGUAGGGGUGCUGAGAGGGAGAUCCCCCACAUUGGGAAGGAGACACGGCCCAAACUCCUACGGGAGGCAGCAGUGAGGAAUAUUGGUCAAUGGAGGAAACUCUGAACCAGCCAAGUCGCGUGAAGGAAGAAUGUCCUAAGGAUUGUAAACUUCUUUAGCGAGCGAGUAAGGACUUCCACGUGAUGGGAGUUUGAAAGUAGCUCGAGAAUAAGUAUCGGCUAACUCCGUG
rnacentral:rRNA from 1 species